rnacentral:lncRNA from 1 species
CACCUCUCUCCAGCUGGCUCUGCUGUGAGCUGCACCUCACAGACAAAACACAAAUAGGUUUCUGAGUUCUGUGUACAGCACCUCUGUUACCACAGUGCAGAGCGGGUGUUGAAGCUGCUGGGUGGCUGGGCAGAGCCUGUGUGCGUUCCGGGAUGGGCUGGGAUGUUUGGGUCUGGUAUACUGUCAGUGUGCUCAUCUCACAGCUUUGAAGCUUUGACUUCUUGCUGCAGUACUGUUAGUUUCCUUGAAAUGUGAGGGGUGAUGAGAUGAGCUGCUGGAAAUCCAAGCAUUCUUGAUUUCUUUUGCAGUUCCUGUUGAAAAUGAUGGGAGCAGUGGAAAAUACAGUGUAAUAACUGGUCAACUCUCUUCUUUGUCCAGCACAUUUGUACACCUUUAUCCUUUCAUGUGUUUUAUCUCGUGCUGUGAAGCCUCUGCAGGGAUCUAGUGCCAUGUGUCUGCAGAGUGCCUUCUGUAUGACUUGUCCGGAGCUGCCUGUCGUUACCAGCAUAACUUACAUUUCGCACCAUACCAUUGUUUCUGUACAAUUAGUUAGUU